ACUCAGGGCCACAGUUCUCUCAGGAGAGUCCCAGGCUGACCUCAGCUUGUCUUCCCUCUUCCACAAGGCUCUCCUUCUCUACACCCUCACUCUCAGGUGGAGGUUCUAGUUUAUGGGCCUGCCUACAUUUUAAGGACCACUACAGUGCAUUUCAGUUCUUUGUUUGCAGUCAAGUCUACAGGGCUGGCUGGUGAGUGAGCCUCUGAACACCAGCUGACUUUAGGCAAACCAUCUUACCCCAGGUGUCGGUAUGGAGCAGUGUGAAAUUCUGUCUACUGUUGGAGCUUCUGUGGCAUGUGUGACCUAUGUCUCUCCUGGGUACAACACAUUGUCAGCUGUUACUUUCUGCUCUCAGUCCCUACCGUGAAACCCAUCAGGACCAAGGUCUCCAGUGCAGCAUACAGUGUUCUACAGGGUCAAAUCAAAUGAACAUGCCACUGAACUUGAUGACCAGACCAUUUGCAACCUACGUGCUAAUAAUUGUCUUUGAACAAGGAAAUGGUGUUCGUUGCCCAUCAUUUUCUGACCGUAUCUUCCCUUCCAGUUCUGGACUUUGCUACGCCUCAUCCACAUUCCCCACCAUUCCCUCCACAUUCCCCACCACUCCCACUGUGGCUUUCCUCUGGCAAUUUGCUUUUUAAAUGUGUAGUCAUCUAUCAAUGUAUUGAUUUAUAUCAAGAACAAGAACUGCCAGGCUGACUAGAUCCUAUCUCUUGCGCAGCAGGAAAAUCUACCCUGAAGGACAACUUGGCCUGGAAGCAAAGGGUACACACAGAUGAUCUCCAAGAGAGGAUGGAGGUCACUCAGCUCCAGGGUCCAAAAGGGGAUGGCUUCGGUCAAAGCAGACAGGCCUCAACCCUGUAGGACCCCUUCUUCAUCAAGGAGGGCCUCAGGUAGUGCUGUGUCCUGCUAAGCACCGGAAAACUGUGUGAAUGAAGAGACAACAGAGACAGACACAGAAAAGCUAGGAUCAGGUAGGUUGUGCUAGCUUUGAGCCCCCCUCCCCCGC
rnacentral:lncRNA from 1 species